UGGGAAGGAUCAUUAUCGAGUUUUGAACGGGUUGUAGCUGGCCUCUCACGAGGCAUGUGCACGCCUGGCUCAUCCACUCUUAACCUCUGUGCACUUUAUGUAAGAGAAAAAAAUGGUGGAAGCUUCCAGGAUCUCGCGAGAGGUCUUUGGUUGAACAAGCCGUUUUUCUUUCUUAUGUUUUACUACAAACGCUUCAGUUAUAGAAUGUCAACUGUGUAUAACACAUUUAUAUACAACUUUCAGCAACGGAUCUCUUGGCUCUCGCAUCGAUGAAGAACGCAGCGAAAUGCGAUAAGUAAUGUGAAUUGCAGAAUUCAGUGAAUCAUCGAAUCUUUGAACGCACCUUGCACUCCUUGGUAUUCCGAGGAGUAUGCCUGUUUGAGUCUCAUGGUAUUCUCAACCCCUAAAUUUUUGUAAUGAAGGUUUAGCGGGCUUGGACUUGGAGGUUGUGUCGGCCCUUGUCGGUCGACUCCUCUGAAAUGCAUUAGCGUGAAUCUUACGGAUCGCCUUCAGUGUGAUAAUUAUCUGCGCUGUGGUGUUGAAGUAUUUAUGGUGUUCAUGCUUCGAACCGUCUCCUUGCCGAGACAAUCAUUUGACAAUCUGAGCUCAAAUCAGGUAGGACUACCCGCUGAACUUAAGCAUAUCA
rnacentral:rRNA from 1 species